CUCCCAACCCCAUAUUUUGGCCUCUCCCAACCUUUCACCUGGAAUGGGAAAGCAACUGUUUCCUCAUGGGAAUGAUCUGCUGGGGUAUUAUACAGACUAGAGGCGGCCAGAAUGUGGGGCAAGUCUACCUCUUUACAAGCCAGAAGGACUUGUAGGCCUGGUGCUGGAUUGUAAAUGUAUCACCUCCCCUGUGGGGCUCAGCCAGAAGGUCUGGUGCUCAUGGGCACCAAGCCCAUCUUGGUCAUGGGAAUCUGACCUAUGAAGACACUGGCCAGAGGACAAGGCCCUGGGCUCAAAGCGAGUUGGCGCAUUGCUCUAGGAGGCCUGGCCCCUUGUCGUCCUGGGAAGUGUGAGGACUUAGCUCCUAAAUGAGAUUGCUGGUGUUGACAGCCGGAGGCCAGGGAUCUGGGGCCACUUGCUAUCUGAGAGCCAGUGGUCCUGGUGUAUAAGAGGCACCCUCUCCAAGAUGGGGGCUCUGGAUUCUGUAGAUACCCACUUAGCCCCCCCCCAGAGGGCUCCUGGAGUGUCAGACCCAUCUCAUGGCACCUGUGGGUUUAUCAGGGUAAGUUGAGUGCUUCUGGAGUGUGGACAGGGCCAGAGGAAGGCCAGCAGCUCCGGGCUUCCUGCCAGGCAGCUCAGGGCCCAGAAGAGCCUAGGAGUCACGAGACACUUGCUCUCACCCUGCAACCAGCUCCAGCCUGCUGGGUCAGGGUGCACACUUGGAGCCAGGCAGGCUGAGCGCCCAGAACUGAAGAACAUAUCUCCUUGAACACCGUGUCUUUUAGCCCAGUCCUCUUGGCCUGUGAGCUUCAAGCUUGGAUCUAGCCCAGGAUUGCCAAGGUCAAGUGACGAUUUCCUUGACUCCAGAAGAGAACACUCGAGGAGAGGAAGCAGAAGGCUGCUAAGGGCCAGGUGUGGUGGAAAGGGAGAGCCUCCGGGAGAGCACUUCCUGUCCUCCAGCUAGCUCCUGCUCUCUCUGCCCUCUUCUGUGUGUGUGUGCACAAUCGUAUCUGCAUCCCAUGCCUAGGUGCCGCCCGCGGUAGUUCACAUGGCCUCCCUCAGUGGGGGAGCAUUUCUGCAUCUGGCCACAGCGAGAACUAAAUGGAGAGGUGAGGCAAUUAUUCUAGCUCUUUGGGUCUGAAGCUACUUCCACCUAAAAUAACCAGAUAUAAUUGAGGUCAGAGUGGGUGGUCCAUUCUGCUCGAAUUACCCACGUAAUUGCCUCAAUUUUCCCCUUGCCUUUGUGUAUGAGCCAAAACAUUAAUGUCGUCCAGGUCACAGAACACAGAUAGAAAUAAGCCACGUAAAUAAAGACAGAACUUCCCAGCCCAGGCUCCCUAUGGGGGGUAAGCCUCAUCUUGUAUUUUAUGACAGUAUUUUUCAAGCAACAGGUAUGUGGUGGCCCAAUGCAUGUGUUGGCAAUACCAUGAGGAUAAAGAAAGCAUGGUUUUGUCCAGCUGGAGCAUAGAUUUUAGUCAAGAAAAAGACAAAAGUCAGUAAACCAACAUCUACAACGAUUAUAAAUUAUAGUGAGGGUGAGAAUGAAUCAAAAAACUUCUAUGCAAUUGUAGGUAGCAGUACACACACACACACACACACACACAC